rnacentral:pre_miRNA from 1 species
AAACAGCCCCCUAUGUUUUGAUUCUUUGGCAGUUUUGGCCCCCAAGGUAAAAUAAAGAUAAAAAAAUUGACACGUGGCACCUCACUUAGGGUGCCACGUCAGCGUUGACCGAGUCAACACUGGACUGGGGGUUCAAAACUGUCAAAGAAUCAAAACAUAGGGGGUUGUUU